GAUGAACGCUGGCGGCGUGCCUAAUACAUGCAAGUCGAGCGAACAGAUGAGGAGCUUGCUCCUCUGACGUUAGCGGCGGACGGGUGAGUAACACGUGGAUAACCUACAUAUAAGACUGGGAUAACUUCGGGAAACCGGAGCUAAUACCGGAUAAUAUAUUGAACCGCAUGGUUCAAUAGUGAAAGACGGUUUUGAUGUCACUUAUAGAUGGAUCCGCGCCGCAUUAGCUAGUUGGUAAGGUAACGGCUUACCAAGGCAACGAUGCGUAGCCGACCUGAGAGGGUGAUCGGCCACACUGGAACUGAGACACGGUCCAGACUCCUACGGGAGGCAGCAGUAGGGAAUCUUCCGCAAUGGGCGAAAGCCUGACGGAGCAACGCCGCGUGAGUGAUGAAGGUCUUCGGAUCGUAAAACUCUGUUAUUAGGGAAGAACAAAUGUGUAAGUAACUAUGCACGUCUUGACGGUACCUAAUCAGAAAGCCACGGCUAACUACGUG
rnacentral:rRNA from 1 species